GACGUAGGGCGCGAGCGUUGUCCGGAUUUAUUGGGCGUAAAGAGCUCGUAGGCGGCUUGUCGCGUCGGUUGUGAAAGCCCGGGGCUUAACCCCGGGUCUGCAGUCGAUACGGGCAGGCUAGAGUUCGGUAGGGGAGAUCGGAAUUCCUGGUGUAGCGGUGAAAUGCGCAGAUAUCAGGAGGAACACCGGUGGCGAAGGCGGAUCUCUGGGCCGAUACUGACGCUGAGGUGCGAAAGCGUGGGGAGCAAACAGG
rnacentral:rRNA from 1 species